AGGAUCACUAAUUGGGAAGAGGUCAGGCAUGGCUCAGUGAAUGGGAGGCACACUGCUCUCCCUCUGCAUUGCCUCUGAUGGAUCGCCACAGAAUUAUGGAUCCCAGCUCCUCUGGAACCUGCAGCAAACUCCUUCUCAUACUACUGCACUGAAUUCUCAAAAGAAGUUUAAUAACACCUGUACAAAAGGGCCAUUACCAGAUGCUGACCAUGAAAACAACUCAAUGCAGAGAUUUUUCCUUGAAGACCUUCCUCACAGUUAAGAUGUGGCGUAGCAAGUUCCUUAUCUGACAGGAGCUGAGACUUCUCAGUUCUUUCCUGGAGACAGACAGCUCUUCAGCAGCUGGUCCUCGAGCAGAAUAGUUGUCUCAG